rnacentral:rRNA from 1 species
UACGAAGGGGGCUAGCGUUGUUCGGAAUCACUGGGCGUAAAGCGCACGCAGGCGGAUCGUUAAGUCAGGGGUGAAAUCCCGAGGCUCAACCUCGGAACUGCCUUUGAUACUGGCGAUCUUUGAGUCCGGGAGAGGUGAGUGGAACUCCGAGUGUAGAGGUGAAAUUCGUAGAUAUUCGGAAGAACACCAGUGGCGAAGGCGGCUCACUGGCCCGGUACUGACGCUCAGGUGCGAAAGCGUGGGGAGCAAACAGGG